UGAGGUAUAGCUCAGUGGUAGGGCACAUGCUUAGCAUGUGGGAGGUCCUGGGUUCAAUCCCUAGUACCUCCA
rnacentral:tRNA from 1 species